rnacentral:lncRNA from 1 species
CGAAUAAUUUCAAAAAAAAUUAAUAAGUCUACCGUAAACACUAGAGAAGGAAGGAGAGAAAGAGAAGAGAUUCUGAUCGACUGUAACGAUCAUCUUAUCGGCUUUGCGUCAUCAUGAUGAAUAAUGUAACUGGCGUCACGUUAUCAUCUGAGCUCAUUAACGAUAUAAAGAAGUUGUUACCUGCGCAAGGAGAAGCUGAUGACGGAUUAGAGGAGUUACAAAAAUUCGUAGGGAAGGAAGGGACUGAAAAUAUACCUAGAAACAACGACAGAGUCGUCUCAAUCAAGAGCCUUCACUAACAGAUCUGGAAGCGAACCCUAAUGUCUUGCUGAAGUCAUUUGUAAAGUCUGACACAACAUGUUGUUUUAAGACUUUCGCUUGUUUUUUAAUAAAACCCUAGUCGUUGAUUUAAGGAAACUGAUCGUUUAGUAUCAAGUAUUUACUAUACAAAUCCCUAUUACAGGUGUAAUUCCAAUGCAUUACCAUUACCAAUGUUCUCCCCCUUCUACAU